GUGAUUCCAGUUUCCCAGUUUGGUGUUGAGCUGAAGAGAAGAUAGAAGCUUGUGCAAAGAUAGGGCAAGCUUCAGGAGAUGUUCAGAAGAGUUCAACCAAGCUUCAGAAGUACCCUGAAGUGUAUAUCUUGUGAAGUUAAGUCCAAGAAGGGCUUAGACUGAUCUGUAGAAGACAUUAGAGGAGUUUGGGAGGAAAUGGUCGAUGGUGCAAAGUUAGGGUCGGCUGUACGGACGGCCGUACGGACUGUACGGACCGGUACGGAUGAGAUCGACCCGAAACAUCUUUUCUCAACCAUCUGAAGACAAUUGGUGCUUGUGCAAAAAUAGGGCACAAGGGUACGGUCUGAGAAGUAUGUGCAAGGUCCGGGUUGAGUAAUGGUAUCAAAAGAGCAUCAAGAAGAUGCUGUGUGCAAUGGGAAUCUAAGGGAGCUGGCACACGGUUCUGAUUGGCUUAUGAUAGUCCAAGACAGGCUGGAUGUUGCUGGAAAGAAAGAGACAAAGGCUGGCUAUGUAUCUGGACAAAGAUAUGGACAGAUACAUAAGGCAGUGUGGAGUAUUUCUAGCCAAGCAUUCCCACAUCCAAUCAGGAGCAUACAACCAGCUACAAACACCCCAAGACCUGAUCCAGAACGUCCAUUUCAAACCAGGCUACCUCCACUGUCCAUUUCUUAUCCUUAACUUAGGGUUUUAUGAGUUUGCAACCUGUUUUCUAUUUAAAGACCCUUUAUGGGCGAAUUGUAAACUCUCUAAGAGAGUAAGGGGGAUUUCCCCUUCUCCUUCAUAGUCUUUGGUUACUUUGAAUCUCCCAAUCUUCAUUCUCUUGAUUACUCUAUUCUGGUUACUUAAUCUCAUACUCUCAGUCUCCUACUCUCACUCAAUCUCCCAUAAUCACUCUUAUUCUUCCAUUCACUAAAUCUCACUUUCAUUAGUCUCUCUUCACCAUUUCAAGUUCUCUCUAGCCCUUGUGGGUUUGUUCAACACUCAUACAGCCUGAGACUCUGUAAAUCUCAUAUGGUAUCAGAGCCAGGUUCAUCUGAACCUGGUAGAAGCUUCUGCAUAUCCGUUACAAGCUCACCCUCAUCUCAAAUCCAAGCCUUUGAAGAUCUGUCAAAACCGGCUACAUCUCUUCAAGAAGAAGCAGACCAAAGCCAUGGCGUUCUCUCAUGGUCUCUCCACCUUUCUCCUGUCCAUUAAAGGCGUGCCUCACCUCCUGGUUAAGAUGAAACCUCUCAAGAAGAGAGUUUUCCCUUUGCUCAUGGAGUUGGCGACUUGGAAACAUGAAGAAAGGAGUGGUCUUUACAGUUUGAGAUACAAGAAGGUGGUCAUAAAGACAAGGAGGAGCUGUUAGGUGGCGAGCCUACAUUUCCAUUCCAUCAAAAUGUCAUGACCUGGUACCUAGGAGGUUCAAGGAAUCAGCACAGAUUCCUUGGUUGUAAGCCAAUCCUUUUCCCUUCUUGAUGUGAGCUUGUAUUAUUGUUUGGUGGUAGUUGAGUGUUUUUAUUGGAUCCUUGGGUUGAUUGAAUGUUUUGCUAGAUGGUAUUGUCUAGUUACUGUCCCAGGAUGCUUUAUGAGACUUGUUUGGUGUUCUUGAUGAUAUAUGCCAUGCCGUGAGUCUUGAAUGUGUUGCUAGGAUGCUAGAUGGUAUUGUCUCAUCCGCUGGUUGCAUUCAUGAUGUCUAAAACUGUUGUUAAGGUGUUUUGCAUUAUCAUUUUGUUGCUGCCUUAAGAUUGAAACAUCUAGAUUAAUGUCUAAGAUGGUGGUUAAGGUGGUUAACUAUUAUUGCCUAAAUACUAUGGGUUUAAUCAUUGAUCAUACAUAAGUAUUUAGAGAAUGUGCUUGCAUAGAUUAGGACUUGAUAUUAUCAUGAUUCUGUCUGUUGCAUUGACUUGCGUAUUUCCAUAGCUCAAAUCGCCAUGAAUAUGUUGUAGGAAUGAGUAGAAUGUCUCAACUGAUUACAUCAUGAUUGAUAAGCUGUUUUGCAUAUAUAAGCAUGUCUCAUACUGUCUAAGUUCAAUCCUAUUAUUGUCUGAUCUCUUUGUGCAUUCAUAAAUAGAAACUGAUUAAGGUUAUUGCAUAUUGUCAUCUUGCUGCUGCCUUAGGUUGAUACACUUAGAUUCAAGUCUAAAAUGUAGUUAAGGCAGAAGUUAAUGCCUAAGUAGCUCGUCUUGAAUCUGAUUUGAUCUUGCUUGUACUUAGAGAGAUUGCUUGCAACGAUGUGAACUUGAUAAUCCUUGUUUCAAUCUGUUGCAUAGCUUGUUACAUUGGAGAUCAAACUUGAUAUUGGUCAAGGAUUGAUCCCAAUGCUUGUGUCUUAUCUUUGCUGGAGUUUGAGUGAUGUUUCAGGUCCACAUGAUGUGCUCUUGGUUCAUCAUCAAUCUUAGUAAAAGAGGAAGACUUUACCCAUUGGGAAUGGUCGCUGGGGUGUAUGUGGAUACAUAAGGCGAAUGGUCAUCACCUAAGUCUGGAGGAGACUGGUGACCAGAAGGCAUUGGAGAUAAAGGGAAGGGUUGAUCAGUGGUUGAAGCGUAAUCCAUGAGAUGUUGCGCUCCUGAUCUUAAGGCUCAUUGAGGCUCACUUCAAGCUUGGACCCAUACUCAAUCCAAGCUUGAGGAGCAAAGUGAGCCACCUGAUGAUCCUGUUGCUCAAUGACCUGUAUUACUCAAGGUCAUUACAAGCUAAUCAUGGAGUGAUUCAGCCGAAGUAGAGGGAAGAAGAAGGUCACUCAAUAAGGCGUGUGAGGUGCUUGGAGAGUUGGCUGAGGUAUCUCCUCAAUGGAAUGAUGAUGUGGUGGAGGUUCAAGCAUCAAGUCCAAAGGAGAUGGAGGUGCUUUCCACAAGAUUUAUCAUGGAGCUAUCAUGCGCUCACCAUCAAGCUUAGACCUUCCCUAUACUUGGUCUCAAGCCUGAAGAGGAGUGUCGAUGAGCUUGCAUGAUAAGAGAAGGAGCUGUUAAGCUCAGCAAGUGAGGGAUUCAAGUGGUGUGUGAAGAGCAGCCACUCCUCACCAUUUAUACAAGGGAGUAAACCUGAUCUUUAUCUCUUUCUAUACAAUCAUGAUAGGUUUAUCUCUUGAAAUUGUCUUGCAUCAAUUAGGUGCUGUCUAAGUUAUUGCAUUCAUGCAUUGAACUGUCGAAUUGAUCAUGCAUUGUUACCCUUGUCUAGAUUGUGCUUGUCCUUGAUCUUUUGUUUGCCUAUUUCAGAAUUAAUAUUUUGUUGAGGCAUUGGUGAUCAAACAAGAUGUGUGAUCUUGCUUUGGUCCCAAUAGGAUGAUUUAAUUUUGCAUUGAGUUGUGGUGGUUUAGGUACACAAGCAGUGAUACAAGUGACUCACCAACAACCAAGAGUGUAAAGACAAAGGUCUUUUGCCAUUGCAUAUCAUCACUAGGACAUGUCAGUCCCCAAUCUACAGGAAGUGUAGUGUGAUUGAUUAUGCAAUGAGAGAUGGCUAUUGCAUAAUACCAUUAGGACAUGUCUAGUCCUUAGUCUACAGGAAGUGUAGCAUGGGACAUUAUGCAAUAAGAAGUGUGACUUGUGAGGCUCUCUAUGGUGAUUCAAACACCCUAGUUCCUGGUAUAAGGAAGAGAGCAGCUCACAAGACCGAGACCAUCACCACAGCUGUUGAGACCGGUGGUCUAAGGCCAUGAAAGUGCUUACACCCACACAAGCUUAGUUCCAAAUCAGAGUCUCGGAAACUAAGCUUGAGGGGGGAAUGUUAAAUAAGCAAGGUUCAUGGCCUGAUAGGUCUUUGCAAAGGCUUCUAAGAAGAACCAUCAACCGGGCCAAGUCAGUGGCGUGUCUAGGUACUUGUGAUCUUGAUAAGCAACCUUUAGGAGAUGGAUGUGAUACCUACAGAGACUACUUGAGGGAGGAUCAAGUGGAGAGUCAAGCUGUAUCAGUCCCUAAGAUGAGCCGGUACAAGGGAAUGUGUACAAGUGGAGGAUGCGUAUGCUCAUAGAAAGCUCCUCACCAAAACAAAAAGGAAGUGUCCCUUAGUCUCUUUCAGUUCAAUUCAUUCUUCUAUUAAGGGCUUAAGCUUGAAAAAGUUACUAGAAAUGAAUUGAUUGAACUGUGAUUAUACUGAAAAAGAUUGAUUGAAUUGUGUGCAUCAAUUGUGAUGCAGGAUAUUCAAAUUCUUGGUUCUUGAUAAGUACUGAUGCACCUUUGGAAUGUGUAUCAGGUACCUUUGCUUGGCGCCUUAUUAAACAGUUCCGGGUCAUCUCUUAGCUUCUCUAAAGAGGCUGUGAAGUCUGUGGAGAGGGGGAGAUUCCAAACCUGGUCUAUGAAGAGGGCAAGCCGUGUGUGAAGUGUUGAGCAGCCUCACUGGUGUUUUGAAGAUGAUCUGGUCAUGUCCUAGCUUCUCUAGGAUGGCUGUGAAGUCAGUUGAGAGGGGGAGGCUUCAAACCGGUUCCAUGAAAAGAUGAAGCUGAGUUGUUAAGUGCGCAAAGUCUUGAUGAGUUGCUGCACCAUCUUAGGCCGUGAUCCAGAACUUCUUGUGUCCAACCACACUGGUUCUAAGGCACAAGAGUUCAUUGGCCAAUCCCUAGGCCCUUAAGAGCUCUACUCUUUUUCCCUUGCAAAGUUUUGUCCCACAGGGUUUUCUUUGCAAGGUUUUUAAUGAGGGAGACUCUUCAGGGUUCCAAGCUUGGCUCAGGAUCUCCUAGAGUCAAGCUUGAGGGGGAGUGUUGAGCUGAAGAGAAGAUAGAAGCUUGUGCAAAGAUAGGGCAAGCUUCAGGAGAUGUUCAGAAGAGUUCAACCAAGCUUCAGAAGUACCCUGAAGUGUAUAUCUUGUGAAGUUAAGUCCAAGAAGGGCUUAGACUGAUCUGUAGAAGACAUUAGAGGAGUUUGGGAGGAAAUGGUCGAUGGUGCAAAGUUAGGGUCGGCUGUACGGACGGCCGUACGGACUGUACGGACCGGUACGGAUGAGAUCGACCCGAAACAUCUUUUCUCAACCAUCUGAAGACAAUUGGUGCUUGUGCAAAAAUAGGGCACAAGGGUACGGUCUGAGAAGUAUGUGCAAGGUCCGGGUUGAGUAAUGGUAUCAAAAGAGCAUCAAGAAGAUGCUGUGUGCAAUGGGAAUCUAAGGGAGCUGGCACACGGUUCUGAUUGGCUUAUGAUAGUCCAAGACAGGCUGGAUGUUGCUGGAAAGAAAGAGACAAAGGCUGGCUAUGUAUCUGGACAAAGAUAUGGACAGAUACAUAAGGCAGUGUGGAGUAUUUCUAGCCAAGCAUUCCCACAUCCAAUCAGGAGCAUACAACCAGCUACAAACACCCCAAGACCUGAUCCAGAACGUCCAUUUCAAACCAGGCUACCUCCACUGUCCAUUUCUUAUCCUUAACUUAGGGUUUUAUGAGUUUGCAACCUGUUUUCUAUUUAAAGACCCUUUAUGGGCGAAUUGUAAACUCUCUAAGAGAGUAAGGGGGAUUUCCCCUUCUCCUUCAUAGUCUUUGGUUACUUUGAAUCUCCCAAUCUUCAUUCUCUUGAUUACUCUAUUCUGGUUACUUAA